UUUUUGUCACAAAAUGUCCCCAUUUUGACGGCGGAAAGUUUUUACACUGCUUACAAGUUUACAAAAUAUCAAUGUCACUGUCCUCUUCAUGAUCCGAGUCCAACUGCUGCAUCGUAACCAUUGUUGGAGAUGUCUCCCCGAUAUCAGAAGACGUAAAUUCGUUGCUUUGAAAGAGGCAAUCGCAGGAAAAUAAUUAAUGCGGCACUCUUUCGGCGGCGGCGUUCUUUAAAAAAAUUUGAUCUCAAAUGCGGCGCUCAUUCGGGGGCGGCGCUCAAUCGGGGGCGGCGCUCAAAUGAGUAAAUACGGUAUAUGUUCC